rnacentral:tRNA from 1 species
GUUUUAAUAAUUUAAAUAAAAUAUUGAUUUUGUAAAUCAAAAAUAAGGCAUCUUUUAAAACU